GUGCCGAUGAAGAGUCCCAAACUAGGACGAAACAGCUGUCCAGUAC
rnacentral:hammerhead_ribozyme from 1 species